ensembl:snRNA LOC120096873 U6 spliceosomal RNA
GUGCUCGGCAGCACAUAUACUAAAGUUGGAACGAUACAGAGAAGAUUAGCAUGGUCCCUGAACAAGGAUGACACGCAAAUUUGUGAAGCGUUCCAUAUUUUU